AAAUCACAAGUGUUAAAAUUAUUAAUAUUCUAAGUGAACUGCGCCUGAAUUGGCAAUUGGCAUUUGGCGCAGUCUGUAUCGGAGUUUGAAAGUGUAACGCGGCAAUUUGGAGCACAUCGUGACUUCAAAUAAAAAUCGUAAUAGUGAUACAGUGCACUGAUAAAAUAAAUUUUGUUGUGAAUUUAAAACAAUGGCCGAGAAGCAAUUGAAGAAUCGUGUCUGCAUAGUUGGUUCGGGAAACUGGGGCUCAGCAAUAGCAAAAAUUGUGGGCAAAAAUGCGGCUCGCCUUGCGAACUUUGAGGACAGAGUUACUAUGUGGGUGUAUGAAGAGAUGAUAGAUGGUAAAAAAUUAACAGAAAUCAUUAAUGAAACGCAUGAAAAUGUGAAGUACCUUCCUGGGCACAAACUCCCAGAGAAUGUGGUGGCUGUCCCAGAUCUAGUGGAAGCCGCCAAGGAUGCUGAUCUCCUCAUUUUUGUGGUUCCCCAUCAAUUUGUUAGAACCUUAUGUUCUACGUUACUUGGCAAAAUUAAGCCUACAGCUGCUGCACUAUCGUUGAUUAAGGGCUUCGACAUCGCGGAAGGUGGUGGCAUUGACCUCAUCUCUCACAUCAUCACGAGAUGCCUGAAGAUCCCCUGCGCGGUGCUCAUGGGUGCCAAUAUCGCUUCGGAGGUGGCUGAAGAGAAAUUCUGCGAAACAACCAUCGGUUGCCGGGAUGUGAUGCUAGCCCCAAUGAUGAGGGACAUCAUCCAGACGGAGUACUUCAGGGUGGUUGUGGUGGAUGAUGAGGAUGCUGUGGAAAUCUGUGGUGCUCUUAAGAACAUCGUCGCAGUGGGCGCUGGCUUCGUAGAUGGCCUCGGCUUCGGUGACAACACUAAAGCGGCAGUCAUUCGUCUAGGUCUCAUGGAGAUGAUCAAAUUCGUCGAUGUUUUCUACCCGGGAAGCAAACUUAGCACUUUCUUUGAAUCCUGUGGUGUCGCCGACCUUAUUACAACGUGUUAUGGUGGUAGAAACCGUCGUGUAGCCGAAGCAUUUGUAAAGACAGGCCGCUCUAUCAAAGAGCUCGAAGAUGAAAUGCUAAAUGGGCAGAAGUUGCAAGGACCGAUCACUGCAGAGGAGGUUAACCACAUGUUAGCCAAUAAGAGUAUGGAAAACAAGUUCCCCCUCUUCACGGCGGUGUUCCGUAUCUGCCGCGGUGAGCUGAAACCAAGUGAUUUCAUCGACUGCAUCCGUUCCCACCCUGAGCACAUGGUGAGAGUUUAAAGCCAGAAGAUUCUAUCCAUGUACUUAUUGUAAUUUGUACAUGACAAAAGAACAGUGAUUGUUCGCUUUUACAGCAAGAUGUCACAAGAAUAAAAUCCGGUUUAGUCUAUUGAAACACUGUUGUCUACACAGGUUGUCUACGAUGUGUGUAGUGUGCAUAGAGUGAUAUAUACAUAGAGGUAUCAUAAAUAGAAAAGAGAAGACAUGCGUCUGUACUCUGUCUGCAAGCGUAAAAAGAUUUAGAAUUAAACAAAUUGCUUUUCUGUCUCUUUCAAUUACUACAAAUUUCAAACCGGAAGUUUCUGCGACUUUCUCAUUCUAUUCACCAAGACAGAAGCCAGCACCAAGGCAGUAGAAGGCGUUUCAGGCAGUUCCACUCUUUUUGUAAUAUCUCUAUGUCAUAUUGAGAGAGAUAAACAUAAUAUGGAAUGUCGUUAGUCGUAACCCCCACCAAUAUAUUAUAUCGAAUUUUAUAUGGCAACUUGUUAUAUGCAAGGGAGGGAGACAGUAUGCAUGGAAGAAUGCGGUUUGUAUGAAUUUUUGGCGCGGUUUUUAAACGAAAACCCCAUCGCAACGCUCAAGUAAAUCUAGUAUAUUAAAGCAAUAUGUACUAUGUAUUAAAUUAGUAGGUAGUUUAAUUGCACGUGUAGUAAAUGAUGCAUCAAAAUCUAAUGCUGAAAUAAUUUUUAAUUGAUUGAUUAAUUGAUUAAAUGAUUUUGAAUGCGGUUCAUGAGAUUUAUUAUUUAUGGAUGUAAUAUAUAUUAGUUACCAUGUUUUGUAAUUUACAUGUUUAUUUUACAUGUGUAUUUAUUCAAUAUUGAAUUUAAACUGGCGAAUUUUGAGUUACAUUAUGAGUUUUUUUAAUACAUAACUAAGUACCUAGGUAUUGAAUAAUAAAUUAUGUUUUCAAGGGAAAAGGCGUUAUUUUUUCGCACCAGAAAUUUUAACACUUAUUCCAUAGGUACACUCGCCAAAAGCAUGAUGUAGAAUUUACAUACCUAUUAAAGUAGUUUUAUAGUUUAUCUAUCAAUUGAUGAGUUUGUCUGAAGUGAUAUAUUAUAUACAUCCCAUAUUUAUAUACUUUAUAUUAUUAUGUACCUAGGUUUGAUGUUCAAAAUCAAAUAUUAUAUAAAGUAGGUAUAAGUAUUUUUAUGUAUCUUAAUGAAUUGUAUAAUAAUUUAUUUAUGUAUACUAUUUUAUAUUUAUAUUAGAUGAGUAAAAUUAGUGUAAAGUUGUUUGUUGUAGUUGAUUAGGCAUGUGAUGUUAAUAAAAAACUGAAGAAUA